rnacentral:rRNA from 1 species
CCUACGGGCGGCAGCAGUGAGGAAUAUUGGUCAAUGGACGAAAGUCUGAACCAGCCAAGUAGCGUGAAGGAUGACUGCCCUAUGGGUUGUAAACUUCUUUUAUAUGGGAAUAAAACGUUUCACGUGUGGGGUUUUGUAUGUACCAUAUGAAUAAGGAUCGGCUAACUCCGUGCCAGCAGCCGCGGUAAUACGGAGGGUCCGAGCGUUAUCCGGAUUUAUUGGGUUUAAAGGGAGCGUAGGUGGAUUGUUAAGUCAGUUGUGAAAGUUUCGGGCUCAACCGGAAAAUUGCAGUUGAAACUGGCAGUCUUGAGUACAGUAGAGGUGGGCGGAAUUCGUGGUGUAGCGGUGAAAUGCUUAGAUAUCACGAAGAACUCCGAUUGCGAAGGCAGUUCACUGGACUGCAACUGACACUGAGGCUCGAAAGUGUGGGUAUCAAACAGGAUUAGAUACCCUUGUAGUC